AUUGAACGCUGGCGGCAGGCCUAACACAUGCAAGUCGAGCGGAUGAAGGGAGCUUGCUCCUGGAUUCAGCGGCGGACGGGUGAGUAAUGCCUAGGAAUCUGCCUGGUAGUGGGGGAUAACGUCCGGAAACGGGCGCUAAUACCGCAUACGUCCUGAGGGAGAAAGUGGGGGAUCUUCGGACCUCACGCUAUCAGAUGAGCCUAGGUCGGAUUAGCUAGUUGGUGGGGUAAAGGCCUACCAAGGCGACGAUCCGUAACUGGUCUGAGAGGAUGAUCAGUCACACUGGAACUGAGACACGGUCCAGACUCCUACGGGAGGCAGCAGUGGGGAAUAUUGGACAAUGGGCGAAAGCCUGACCCAGCCAUGCCGCGUGUGUGAAGAAGGUCUUCGGAUUGUAAAGCACUGUUAGUUGGGAGGAAGGGCAGUAAGUUAAUACCUUGCUGUUUUGACGGUACCAACAGAAUAAGCACCGGCUAACUUCGUG
rnacentral:rRNA from 1 species